AGCAGCCGCGGUAAUUCCAGCUCCAAUAGCGUAUAUUAAAGUUGUUGCAGUUAAAAAGCUCGUAGUUGAAUUUCGGGACCAUCAUAUCGGUCGUGCCUCGGUACGUACUGGUAUUGUUGGUUUCUCCCUUCUGACGAACCAUGAUGUCAUUUAUUUGGUGUUGUGGGGAAUCAGGACUGUUACUUUGAAAAAAUUAGAGUGUUUAAAGCAGGCUCACGCUUGAAUACAUUAGCAUGGAAUAAUGAAAUAGGACGUUUGAUUCUAUUUUGUUGGUUUCUAGGAUCGACGUAAUGAUUAAUAGGGAUAGUUGGGGGCAUUAGUAUUCAAUUGUCAGAGGUGAAAUUCUUGGAUUUAUUGAAGACUAACUACUGCGAAAGCAAUUUGCCAAGGAUGUUUUCAUUAAUCAAGAACGAAAGUUAGGGGAUCGAAGACGAUCAGAUACCGUCGUAGUCUUAACCAUAAACUAUGCCGACUAGGGAUCGGAUGAUGUAAUUUUUAAUGACUCAUUCGGCGCCUUAAC
rnacentral:rRNA from 1 species